rnacentral:rRNA from 1 species
UUCUUAGCAACCGGAUUGGUCCUAGUCCUAUUUUUGGCCCUUUCUAGAACGAUACAUGCAAGCCCGUCGCAACACAGUGAGUAAACUUCACCAACUGUCCUAAAAAGACACAGCCCACAAAACCAGGUAUCAGAAAACCCCCGAAUUCAACUACACCUAGCCAACCACAUCUGCAGUACCUAGCAUUAUACAAUAAGUACAAGCUUGAUAUAGUCAUAGAAUUUAGAGUUGGUAAAUUAUGUGCCAGCCACCGCGGUUAUACAUAAAACUCGAGCCAAAAAACUGCCGGUCUAAAGGUGACUAAAGAUAAUACUAGUCUUAAGGUAGAAAAUAACUCCAGUAUUAAUAAGCUCUUACAGUAAACUAAUUACACUUGUAAUAUUACCUUAAGUCCCCACCCAACUUGAAGCACCAAAGCUCAAAAAUAAACUGGGAUUAGAUACCCCACUAUAUGAGCCUAAAAUCCAAAACACCAGAGACUCG